UCAUUGGGUUUCUCCACCCCGAGCGGAUAAAUCUUUCGCCUUAUACUAAAUAUUUCCGUGGGGAGGAACAUUUUACUAUGAAAGGUUUAGUUGAACAAAUCAACCCCAGGACUUAU
rnacentral:snRNA from 1 species